GACCGGAUGUAAACAAUGUUUUACUAAGAGAAAAAUAAUUCAAUCAUCAGCUUUCAUUUGAGCUUUAUUCUAAUUUUCAGAUUAAAUUUGUCAAAAAAUACUAAAUUAUUAAAAAAUAUAUAUAUAUAUAGAACUACUGGUAGCUAUGACUUGAGACAGUGUAAUAUAUUUCAUGUACAUUUAUUUUAGCCAAUGUGAUGAUCUCAUUAAAACAUACGGGACACAUUAAGCACGUAAUAAGGCAAUGAUUUUAUCAUAAUUUGUAUCGAUAUAAAAUCAUAUUUAAAAAUGUACCAUGAUAUUCUGUUUAAUUUUACAUUGGUUACAUUGACCAUUCUGGUAAGAAAAAACAAUCAUUAUUUUUUUUUUUAUGAAGAACAAUGAAUCGGGUCAAAAUGACGCCAAGUAUAAUAGGAGGGUUAAAUAGCCUGAGUUAUAGUUUUUUUGUCAUCAUAGAUUAGACAAAAUUGUCGCCAUUUCAUUUUAGGGUUCAAGAGCAUGUUCUUGAUUUUUUAGUUUUUGAUCAAAAUGCCGAACAAGUCACGGUUUUAGUCAUCCUGCCUAUUUUUUUUGUUUUUGCUGGUUAUAGAAAGUAAAAAUGGAAUCGAUAAAACCUAUGACUUGGUUUAUGAUAGUAUUGAAAGAACACUGUAAAUGAUGAAUGCCUCUAACUCGGGACCCCAUUGUAACACCAGAUGAGCAUUCAGACAGGGUUUGGUCCUCCCACAUCAUUCCAGAACCCCAUGCUUUGCGUAUCCUCAUUGAUGUGGUCUCUCCUCUCCAGCAGCAGCUUUGUGUCAGGGACAGCAUGCAGGGACGAGGCUCAGAGGAGAAGCAGCUCUCUGCCAGCGAUUGUCCCUGCUGGAUUAGAGUCGGGCUUUGGUUUCAAGCUUUUUAUUGCUGGAGGGUCCAUGACACAGCAGGAACAUCCCGGUUUUCUACUGGAACCUCUCUACACAACCUGAGGUCACUGGAACGUUUCCAAAGCCCGUAGACGGACCGUCUCCUCUAACACCUCUCAUGUUUUGACAAAUGAGCGUUGAUGAAGGGCCAAAUGGCAACAGGUUCUUGUGAGUGGACAUAUUUGGCCCUCAGAGGCGGGAGGAAUGUAGAUUUUACAGGGCAGCAGAGGUGCUGAAGCAACCAUCUGAGCUCAUAUCAAACAUGCAGUGGGAUCUUGAAGGUGG
rnacentral:lncRNA from 1 species